rnacentral:rRNA from 1 species
CCUACGGGAGGCAGCAGUGAGGACUAUUGGUCAAUGGACGAGAGUCUGAACCAGCCAAGUAGCGUGAAGGAUGACUGCCCUAUGGGUUGUAAACUUCUUUUAUAUGGGAAUAAAAUGUUCCACGUGUGGGAUUUUGUAUGUACCAUAUGAAUAAGGAUCGGCUAACUCCGGGCCAGCAGCCGCGGGAAUACGGAGGAUCCGAGCGUGAUCCGGAUUUAUUGGGUUUAAAGGGAGCGUAGGUGGUUUGUUAAGUCAGUUGGGAAAGUUUGCGGCUCAACCGUAACAUUGCAGUUGAAACUGGCAGUCUUGAGGACAGUAGAGGUGGGCGGAAUUCGUGGUGUAGCGGUGAAAUGCUUAGAUAUCACGAAGAACUCCGAUUGCGAAGGCAGCUCACUGGACUGCAACUGACACUGAGGCUCGAAAGUGUGGGUAUCAAACAGGAUUAGAUACCCUUGUAGUC